GCAAACUUGGUCAUUUAGAGGAAGUAAAAGUCGUAACAAGGUUUCCGUAGGUGAACCUGCGGAAGGAUCAUUACCAAUAUUAGCGAAUCUGACCUUUUGGGGUUAUGGUCUCGCGAAAACUUUGUAUUUAAAACCCCACUCUUAUUAAGAAAUGAAUCAUUUUUAUAUGUAAAUAAAUAAAGAUCACUUUCAACAACGGAUCUCUUGGCUCUCUAUAAGAGACAGGCAAACUUGGUCAUUUAGAGGAAGUAAAAGUCGUAACAAGGUUUCCGUAGGUGAACCUGCGGAAGGAUCAUUACCAAUAUUAGCGAAUCUGACCUUUUGGGGUUAUGGUCUCGCGAAAACUUUGUAUUUAAAACCCCACUCUUAUUAAGAAAUGAAUCAUUUUUAUAUGUAAAUAAAUAAAGAUCACUUUCAACAACGGAUCUCUUGGCUCUCGCAUCGAUGAAGAACGCAGC
rnacentral:misc_RNA from 1 species